UUGUAGUCUGCAACCCGACUACAUGAAGCUGGAAUCGCUAGUAAUCGCGAAUCAGAAUGUCGCGGUGAAUACGUUCCCGGGUCUUGUACACACCGCCCGUCACACCAUGGGAGUCGGAAAUGCCCGAAGCCGGUGACCCAACCAAAAGGAGGGAGCCGUCGAAGGCAGGUCUGAUAACUGGGGUGAAGUCGUAACAAGGUACC
rnacentral:rRNA from 1 species